AGCUGGUAAUUCGCCAUGGAGCCAGCACUAUAAGUGCUCGUACAUACAGUUUUCUCAAGAAAAUAAUACGGGGCCGUUCGUGCCGAUAAAAAAAACACAAAAAUUCGCGCGUAUAUGUUAUUCAUCCGUGUGAAUCCAUCGAAUAAAAGUGAGUGAUUCAUUUUCCAGUGGAGUGAAAUUUAGUGACAAAUUUUGUUACGCGCACGUGCCCAAGUUUGGUUUUAUUCGCCCUGAUUUUCUUCACAAUUUUUUGAUGGGCUAUUAGUUUGUCUUUGGAAGGAUACACCGUUUACCUGCCUGCCUUCGAAGCCUGGGAGAAAAUCAUUUUGGUACGUACCGAUGGGGAAACUAUCAGAAAUGACCCCAAACUCUAGACGUUGAAAAGCCAGUGGAAAUGGAGUAGUGCGUCGAGGUCAUCCAGCAAAAAUAAAACAAGCUCACCAGGAUCGAUUGCAUUCCAUAGUGUUGUCUCUGCAGACGUUUAAAUAACCUAGUUGCUGAUCCACGAGUCCACAUAGCCGCAUUGGACGUCGUGUGUUCUAGAGAGCAUUCUGGGCUAUGUCGUGGUGAAUGCUCAUUUUCUGUUUAACAACUUUUCAUUAAAAUUUUCUUGUCUACUUUCUGA